rnacentral:rRNA from 1 species
AACGAACGCUGGCGGCAUGCCUAACACAUGCAAGUCGAACGAGACCUUCGGGUCUAGUGGCGCACGGGUGCGUAACGCGUGGGAACCUGCCCUUAGGUUCGGAAUAACUCCCCGAAAGGGGUGCUAAUACCGGAUAAUGUCUUCGGACCAAAGAUUUAUCGCCUUUGGAUGGGCCCGCGUUGGAUUAGCUAGUUGGUAGGGUAAAAGCCUACCAAGGCGACGAUACAUAGCUGGUCUGAGAGGAUGAUCAGACACACUGGGACUGAGACACGGCCCAGACUCCUACGGGAGGGAGCAGUGGGGAAUAUUGGACAAUGGGCGAAAGCCUGAUCCAGCAAUGCCGCGUGAGUGAUGAAGGCCUUAGGGUUGUAAAGCUCUUUUACCCGGGAUGAUAAUGACAGUACCGGGAGAAUAAGCACCGGCUAACUCCGUG